rnacentral:rRNA from 1 species
AUUGAACGCUGGCGGCAUGCUUUACACAUGCAAGUCGAACGGUAACAGGCCGCAAGGUGCUGACGAGUGGCGAACGGGUGAGUAAUGCAUCGGAACGUGCCCAGUCGUGGGGGAUAACUACUCGAAAGAGUAGCUAAUACCGCAUACGAUCUAUGGAUGAAAGCGGGGGACCGUAAGGCCUCGCGCGAUUGGAGCGGCCGAUGUCAGAUUAGGUAGUUGGUGGGGUAAAGGCUCACCAAGCCAACGAUCUGUAGCUGGUCUGAGAGGACGACCAGCCACACUGGGACUGAGGCACGGCCCAGACUCCUACGGGAGGCAGCAGUGGGGAAUUUUGGACAAUGGGCGCAAGCCUGAUCCAGCAAUGCCGCGUGCAGGAAGAAGGCCUUCGGGUUGUAAACUGCUUUUGUACGGAACGAAACGGCUCUGGUUAAUACCCGGGGCUAAUGACGGUACCGUAAGAAUAAGCACCGGCUAACUACGU